AUCUUUAUCUGGCAGUUGGAAUACCAUGAUCAAGAAGGUUGUUUCCCCAGGAUAAGGCUCUUCCGCUGCACUUUUUGGCUGGGCAGAACCCUGUUAUUUCCCCAAAUGUGGGAAUCUCAACUGCAUAAUUUAUGGUAGUGUGAGACUGCAUUCGUGCAGUUCCCAU